rnacentral:pre_miRNA from 1 species
UGCUGGAGUGGACAUCAAUGCAUUAUUUUGCAAGGCGUUGUAGGCCUCUCCAGCACU